rnacentral:rRNA from 1 species
AUAAUGACGGUACUUGAGGAGGAAGCCCCGGCUAACUACGUGCCAGCAGCCGCGGUAAUACGUAGGGGGCUAGCGUUAUCCGGAUUUACUGGGCGUAAAGGGUGCGUAGGCGGUCUUUCAAGUCAGGAGUGAAAGGCUACGGCUCAACCGUAGUAAGCUCUUGAAACUGGGAGACUUGAGUGCAGGAGAGGAGAGUGGAAUUCCUAGUGUAGCGGUGAAAUGCGUAGAUAUUAGGAGGAACACCAGUUGCGAAGGCGGCUCUCUGGACUGUAACUGACGCUGAGGCACGAAAGCGUGGGGAGCAAACAGGAUUA